rnacentral:rRNA from 1 species
CAGCCGCCGCGGUAAUACCGGCGGCCCGAGUGGCGGCCACUAUUAUUGGGCCUAAAGCGUCCGUAGCCGGGCUGGUAAGUCCUCCGGGAAAUCUGGUCGCUUAACGAUCAGACUUCCGGAGGAUACUGCUGGCCUAGGGACCGGGAGAGGCCGAGGGUAUUCCCGGGGUAGGGGUGAAAUCCUGUAAUCCCGGGAGGACCACCUGUGGCGAAGGCGCUCGGCUGGAACGGGUCCGACGGUGAGGGACGAAGGCCAGGGGAGCAAACCGGAUUAGAUACCCGGGUAGUCCUGGCUGUAAACGAUGCGGACUUUGUGUCGGACAAGCUAUGAGCUGGUCCGGUGCCGGAGGGAAACCGUUAAGUCCGCCGCCUGGGGAGUACGGCCGCAAGGCUGAAACUUAAAGGAAUUGGCGGG